CAGACCUCAGCUCAAGAGGAACUCUACCAACACAAACACCUGCUCCAACAACUGCAAGCAGCGUUGUGGGGUUGCUUCUGAAGGCAUCAGCUUUGGGGCUAAAUGAAACUGCCGUUCAAGAGGAGGUGUUGAAACAGCUUGAGGCCGUGCUGACAGCAAGAGGGCUACAGGCGUCUGGUCUACAGGUCACGGCAGUGGUCAGGAGGCCAGGAGAGACAUGAACACACACACGCACAUACG